rnacentral:tRNA from 1 species
GGCACGAUAGCUCAGGUGGUAGAGCAGAGGACUGAAAAUCCUUGUGUCGGGGGUUCGACUCCCUCUCGUGCCACCC